ensembl:lncRNA
CAAUAAGUAACAAAGUUAUUUCAGUCCCCAAUACAUAAGAUUCACAUCCAAAAAUGUGUUCAUGGGAAAAGACCAACAGUGAAAACAACCCAAUCUGGUUUAUUAAAUAUAUAAGUCAGAACACAUGCUGGGCUAAACUCAGUAAACUGAGCUGGACAGAUCAGACCUAAACUCGAUCAAACCUGACCGUCUACAGCUUUUUCUGAUAUGCAGUAUAACGCAGCCGCUGUUUAACACAAAACUGUCAGAAAGGAAGUCAGAUGAAGACAAGAAACCUGAUGUUAAACCGUUCAGAAGCCAUUAGACCUCAGCAGACCCUCAGGAACCCUGUCUCUCCUCAAACUGACAGAGCAAUGUACUGAUAAUGUCAAGUUUGCUGGCUCAAGCACAGAGAUGCAAACCAAAUAUAAAAAAAAAAAAAUUCAAAGUCAAGGGACAUCGCUUCUAGUAGUUCAUGGCUGAAUGAUUGGCUCACAGUCUUAGCUUCCAAUAUCAUGACUCUACAUCUCAAACAAAUACAUUGCAUGUAAUAAAAGAGACUCCUCGAGAUGCAGAAGCUUUGUACUCGUACACUGAAACUGAUUGUACAUGUACAGUAAGAUACUGUAAAAUGUGUAUACAGUAUUGUAGUGUAAACAACAAAGGAUUAUGGGGAAAUAUACAACAUCUACUGUAUUUCCUCACUACUGUACAUUCAUUUACAGUAAACGACUGUAAAUUUACAGAAGUGAACUUGCUCGCGAAAAAGUGACCAAUGGCAAGGGAGAUUUCUGUUUUGACUGUUUGGUGGAAGUGUCUGUAAAAGGACACCGUUAGCUUGACAAAAAGGUUAGCAUAUCAUUUCUGUUUUAGGCAAAACUGAGAUAUUUUAAGAUGGUUUCACUUGAUAACAGAAAACUAACAUUAUUCAUCGUAUCGUUUUUCAUGUCGGGAGUUGGAGCCUUUUUUUUCUGACUGAAUGCCGCCAAAACACUGUUCACAUCGACUGAUUUCUAGUCUGGAUGUAGUCUGCAACGUCGAAGGUGUACCUCUACUUGUGAAUGCCAAAGUAUCGAUAACAUUGACUGUUUGUGGUCAUGUCUUCUGCAUCGGAGGUGUACUGGAGUCUUUUCCUGUGAUUGCGGUCGUAGCGAUGCUAACAACAGGAGAUUUCUCCAAGCAAAAACUGAAUCCUGACUAUGAGCGCCAGAAUCAUCAUACAGCCAGCUGUCC